rnacentral:rRNA from 1 species
CUUAAUUGACUCAACGCGGGACAACUCACCAGGCCCGGACACCGUAAGGAUUGACAGACUGAUAGCUCUCUCUUGAUUCAGUGGGUGGUGGUGCAUGGCCGUUCUUAGUUGGUGGAGUGAUUUGUCUGGUUUAUUCCGAUAACGAACGAGACUCUGGCCUAUUAAACUUGACACUGUCAGUCUCUUGUGACUGCGGUGCGCUUCUUAGAGGGAUCAUCGGCGUCCCAGCCGAAGGAAAGGGAGCAAUAA